UGGGGAAUAUUGCACAAUGGGGGAAACCCUGAUGCAGCGACGCCGCGUGAACGAAGAAGGUAUUCGUAUCGUAAAGUUCUGUCCUAUGGGAAGAUAAUGACAGUACCAUAGAAGAAAGCUCCGGCUAAAUACGUGCCAGCAGCCGCGGUAAUACGUAUGGAGCGAGCGUUGUCCGGAAUUAUUGGGCGUAAAGGGUACGCAGGCGGUUUAAUAAGUCGAAUGUUAAAGAUCGGGGCUCAACCCCGUAAAGCAUUGGAAACUGAUAAACUUGAGUAGUGGAGAGGAAAGUGGAAUUCCUAGUGUAGUGGUGAAAUACGUAGAUAUUAGGAGGAAUACCAGUAGCGAAGGCGACUUUCUGGACACAAACUGACGCUGAGGUACGAAGGCGUGGGGAGCAAACAGG
rnacentral:rRNA from 1 species